rnacentral:rRNA from 1 species
CCUCUGGGUCCAACCUCCCACCCGUGUCUAUCGUACCUUGUUGCUUCGGCGGGCCCGCCGUUUCGACGGCCGCCGGGGAGGCCUUGCGCCCCCGGGCCCGCGCCCGCCGAAGACCCCAACAUGAACGCUGUUCUGAAAGUAUGCAGUCUGAGUUGAUUAUCGUAAUCAGUUAAAACUUUCAACAACGGAUCUCUUGGUUCCGGCAUCGAUGAAGAACGCAGCGAAAUGCGAUAAGUAAUGUGAAUUGCAGAAUUCAGUGAAUCAUCGAGUCUUUGAACGCACAUUGCGCCCCCUGGUAUUCCGGGGGGCAUGCCUGUCCGAGCGUCAUUGCUGCCCUCAAGCACGGCUUGUGUGUUGGGCCCCCGUCCCCCUCUCCCGGGGGACGGGCCCGAAAGGCAGCGGCGGCACCGCGUCCGGUCCUCGAGCGUAUGGGGCUUUGUCACCUGCUCUGUAGGCCCGGCCGGCGCCAGCCGACACCCAACUUUAUUUUUCUAAGGUUGACCUCGGAUCAGGUAGGGAUACCCGCUGAACUUAAGCAUAUCA